UCCCAGUGAAGAAACUUUCACACGUCUUACUCUCUGUCCUAGUCCCAGAGCCUGUAAAGGUGAACCCACUGGGACUGGCUGGGGGAAAAGAGGAAGAUUUGUUCCAGAAGGAACUGUCUGAGGGAU
ensembl:snoRNA SNORD22 Small nucleolar RNA SNORD22